UGGGAACCUUCCCUAUGGUUCGGAAUAGCCCAGGGAAACUUGGGGUAAUACCGAAUAAGCCCUUCGGGGGAAAGAUUUAUCGCCAUUGGAUGGGCCCGCGUCGGAUUAGCUAGUUGGUGGGUAACGGCCCACCAAGGCGACGAUCCGUAGCUGGUCUGAGAGGAUGAUCAGCCACACUGGGACUGAGACACGGCCCAGACUCCUACGGGAGGCAG
rnacentral:rRNA from 1 species